CAAUGGUAAAAUUCUGUAUCUCCUUUACGUCUUUUCCCAUCUGAAUUUCUCUCUGUAAUUCCUAUAUGCGUCGAUUAUAGAGGCGAGGGGUAAAUUGUUGAUCACGGGCCUUCAGGGGUUUCUUGGAUUCAACCAGGCGUUAACCCCAAGGGGGUGGUCUGGGCUGGGACAUAAGGGUUUGCUUCCUCCUAUAGUCUUAGGUUCGAUUCUCCUUGCUGAUAACUCUUUGGGCCACCUCACCCCACGCAUAUGCAUGCGAAAGGGCUGUGAGAGGGGCGGUAGGGAUUAGUCCGAGAUGCGCGCAAGCUGUCUCAGCAUGGUUGCAAUUGAGAUGGAAAAGAUCCUUAGAAAAGAUUGAAAAUCUAGACAAGCAGUGGAAUCAAACAACGGAUCAUUGCAUACAAAUUACAAAGAUGCAACCCCAGUUUUCUCCUCGUGAUGGCAAUCCAAGUGGUCCAGGAAGAGUGUCAAGUUCCUCUGCUUCAUCAUCUACUUCAUCGUUUGAUCCUUUUCUCGAUGUAGAUGACGACGAAAACGACAUUCAUGAUACUUCCACCCCCAAGUAUGGACAGGAUAGCCCUAUUUCUCCAAUAUCAGUAGUCAAAUCGGCUGCAGAAUGGAGCAUGAUAAGUGCGUCGCCAAUGGCUGGACUGCAUUCUCCUCAUACUCCAGAGUGGAGCAUGCACGGUGCAUCUCCAAAGCAAUCCCCUCCUAUUCAAACCAUGGGGCAGCCCGGUCCAGAUUACGACCCGAAUAGGAUUCCCUCUUCCAUUUUUGCUAGCAAACCUGCCAACCCUAUGGAUUGGAGUGUGGCUUCCAACGAUUCAUUGUUUAGUAUUCACAUGGGGAAUAACAGCUUUAAGUCUGGAGAAUUGACCACUGUAAUGGAAGUAGCAGGUGAAAAUCUUGGAAGGAGUGACAGUAUGAGGGAGGACUCCCCAGGAAAACAAGUGGAGGAUGAGAAGACAAAAGCGGUUGUUAUGACGGAAAAAACAGAAGAUCUUAGCAAGGGAAGUGUGGCUCGUACGGAGCGGGUGGGUUUUUCAUUUUUUAGUGCUAAACUUUCUGGAGAAAUACUUCCUGUUGAUGGUGCACGUACUUGUGCUAGCACCCCUCGCCUUUCGUAUGGGAGUGAAAAUAGCAGCCGAUCUUUUGCCUUCCCAGUAUUCACAAGAGAAGAUGGAAGAAGUGGAUCAGUGAGGGUUGGUCCUGACAUUUUGCAGUCAAAGCCCCGUGAGACACCUCAGUCACAGCCACAAGCCCAGCCAGCGACCCCAAAACCUGCCGAAACAAGAUGGUUUUCUUGCUUCUCUUGUUGCCCACAUUGCUGCUGAGACUCCAAGUUUAUGGACGUUAAUCUUACUUUGAAAAAAUCGACUGAUUGGUUCUCCUUACUUCAUUUCCUGCCUAAACUGUUUGGUAUGAAGAUCUGGAAUUGGCUUGGGCUUAUGGAAGGCUUAUUGCACCUCUGAAAGCAUAAGUAAGCUUCCUAUCAAAAUUUUGAAUUUUGAGAUUUCGCAGCUAAGUAAUUAUGUUAGCAGUUGGUUUUACUCCUAAACAAGAAGGCAAUUUACAUGUAAUUGUGAAUCUGAGGUUGACGAUGCUGGGUAGAACUUAAACAAGUCUAGGAAAGUUUGAUCAACCGUCUGUCAAUUCCUUCAGUUUGUUAUUGCAGUUCUUGAUUCUUAUGUGGUUUAUAGCCGAUGAAAUCAAUGGUGGGGCUAGAAUUGGAGGUACAUCAGUUUUCUGCGACCACCCACAAGCCGCAAGGACGUGCCAACCAGUCCUCAUGGUGAUUUUGAAGAAUGUUGAGGUAGAUUGCAAUCUAAGAACCCUUUUCUCUCUCAGUGUGAAACUCACGUAUACGGUUAAAAUACGUUGGCUUUGCUCGAACUUCUUUGUUGUAUUCUUUUCAGAACUACCCCGUAUCCCACUCUGUAUUUCUAGUAGGAAAAACAUGUUGAGAAGAAACGUUCCUCUGUUAUUAUCAAAAAAUGUGGGAACAAUUCUAAUGGCUGAGACUCAAUCUUCAAUCUUGGUCCAAGCUUUCGAUCCGAAUCUAGCUGAGGGUGUAGUAGGGGAAGAAAGAGCUUUUUCUGAGACAGAAGCCAAUUCCGAGUCACAAACGGAGACUAAAGCAAGUGUUGGAUUCAAAGCGGGUGUUAAAGAUGGGAAGCAAGGCAUUUGCCGUCCUAGUUCUAGCAGCUAAGGCAGCUCGGCUAGCUGCUCUUCCUUUUUUGGAGAACAGCGACGAUAUAACCUGGUCCGAAAGAAUCUGUAUACUGAGUUGAAGGAGAAGGAACUUAUUGGGAAUUUGGAAGAGCCGUUGUUCCAUGA